AGUGAACGCUGGCGGUAGGCCUAACACAUGCAAGUCGAACGGCAGCACAGUAAGAGCUUGCUCUUACGGGUGGCGAGUGGCGGACGGGUGAGGAAUACAUCGGAAUCUACUUUUUCGUGGGGGAUAACGUAGGGAAACUUACGCUAAUACCGCAUACGCCCUACGGGUGAAAGCAGGGGAUCUUCGGACCUUGCGCGAUUGAAUGAGCCGAUGUCGGAUUAGCUAGUUGGCGGGGUAAAUGCCCACCAAGGCGACGAUCCGUAGCUGGUCUGAGAGGAUGAUCAGCCACACUGGAACUGAGACACGGUCCAGACUCCUACGGGAGGCAGCAGUGGGGAAUAUUGGACAAUGGGCGCAAGCCUGAUCCAGCCAUACCGCGUGGGUGAAGAAGGCCUUCGGGUUGUAAAGCCCUUUUGUUGGGAAAGAAAAGCAGCAGGUUAAUACCCCGCUGUUCUGACGGUACCCAAAGAAUAAGCACCGGCUAACUUCGUG
rnacentral:rRNA from 1 species